AGAGUUUGAUCAUGGCUCAGAUUGAACGCUGGCGGCAGGCUUAACACAUGCAAGUCGAGCGGAGAUGAGGUGCUUGCACCUUAUCUUAGCGGCGGACGGGUGAGUAAUGCUUAGGAAUCUGCCUAUUAGUGGGGGACAACAUUCCGAAAGGGAUGCUAAUACCGCAUACGUCCUACGGGAGAAAGCAGGGGAUCUUCGGACCUUGCGCUAAUAGAUGAGCCUAAGUCGGAUUAGCUAGUUGGUGGGGUAAAGGCCUACCAAGGCGACGAUCUGUAGCGGGUCUGAGAGGAUGAUCCGCCACACUGGGACUGAGACACGGCCCAGACUCCUACGGGAGGCAGCAGUGGGGAAUAUUGGACAAUGGGGGGAACCCUGAUCCAGCCAUGCCGCGUGUGUGAAGAAGGCCUUAUGGUUGUAAAGCACUUUAAGCGAGGAGGAGGCUACUGAGACUAAUACUCUUGGAUAGUGGACGUUACUCGCAGAAUAAGCACCGGCUAACUCUGUGCCAGCAGCCGCGGUAAUACAGAGGGUGCGAGCGUUAAUCGGAUUUACUGGGCGUAAAGCGUGCGUAGGCGGCUUUUUAAGUCGGGUGUGAAAUCCCCGAGCUUAACUUGGGAAUUGCAUUCGAUACUGGGAAGCUAGAGUAUGGGAGAGGAUGGUAGAAUUCCAGGUGUAGCGGUGAAAUGCGUAGAGAUCUGGAGGAAUACCGAUGGCGAAGGCAGCCAUCUGGCCUAAUACUGACGCUGAGGUACGAAAGCAUGGGGAGCAAACAGGAUUAGAUACCCCGGUAGUCCAA
rnacentral:rRNA from 1 species